rnacentral:lncRNA from 1 species
AGGAAGUGAUACAAAUGAAAGAUACGAAAGCCAGGGAUCACCUGAAACCACUACUUUACGGAAUGGUCAACCAAAAAGCUGAGAGAGAAGACACUAAUUUUGUUGAAGACUUGCAAAGUAUGUGUUCGUAGUUAUAUUGAAACAAACUUCGUGUAAUAUUUGAAAUCCCGCUAUGAGGACUGGACUAGAUUUCAAGUCCGGGCAACUGAGUUCAUCACGUCCGAGGCGAAGGCGAGGACUGGAUCAAAGUGCGAGGACUUGAAAUCCAG